rnacentral:lncRNA from 1 species
AUUCUUUUGGAAGUCCGUACCGGUGAAGGAGCCGUAUGCACUAAUUAGUGCUAAUUUGGAAUCCGUACAGAUUGGGUUGAGAGAAGCUCUUUUUCGGAGUUGCUUGUUGCGGUGUUUCGAAUCUAAUUACGUUUUGGUCUUUUGAGAGAUCUUCUUGUACUCCGUCUUUCCGACAUUAAUAAAUUAUUUGCUCCGUCUUCGCCCGUGGACGUAGGCCGUUGGCCGAACCACGUAAAUAUCGGUGUGUUUUUUCCUUAUCUUUUCUUUUCUUGCAUUAAAUUAUUUUCUGGAUCUAUUUUUCGUCGUUCCGAUUUUAACAAUCUUAUUCAUAGUUACAGAAAAUCUCCAA